rnacentral:rRNA from 1 species
AGGCCAUUGCUAUUGGGAUCCGAUUUAGCCAUGCUAGUUGUACGAGUUCAGACUCGUAGCGAAUAGCUCAGUAACACGUGGCCAAACUACCCUUCGGACCACGAUACCCUGGGAAACUGAGGUUAAUAGUGUAUCCCACACUCAUACUGGAAUGUCGAGUGUGACAAACGCUCCGGCGCCGAAGGAUGUGGCUGCGGCCGAUUAGGUAGACGGUGGGGUAACGGCCCACCGUGCCAAUAAUCGGUACAGGUCAUGAGAGUGAGAACCUGGAGACGGAAUCUGAGACAAGAUUCCGGGCCCUACGGGGCGCAGCAGGCGCGAAACCUUUACACUGCACGCCAGUGCGAUAAGGGGAUCCCAAGUGCGCAGGCAUAGAGCCUGCGCUUUUGUUCACCCUAGGGAGGUGAACGAAUAAGGGCUGGGCAAGACCGGUGCCAGCCGCCGCGGUAAUACCGGCAGCCCGAGUGAUGGCCGAUCUUAUUGGGCCUAAAGCGUCCGUAGCUGGCCGCGCAAGUCCAUCGGGAAAUCCACCCGCCCAACGGGUGGCCGUCCGGUGGAAACUGCACGGCUUGGGACCGGAAGGCGCGACGGGUACGUCCGGGGUAGGAGUGAAAUCCCGUAAUCCUGGACGGACCGCCGAUGGCGAAAGCACGUCGCGAGAACGGAUCCGACAGUGAGGGACGAAAGCUAGGGUCUCGAACCGGAUUAGAUACCCGGGUAGUCCUAGCCGUAAACAAUGCCUGCUAGGUGUGGCUCCCACUACGAGUGGGUGCUGUGCCGUAGGGAAGCCGCUAAGCAGGCCGCCUGGGAAGUACGUCCGCAAGGAUGAAACUUAAAGGAAUUGGCGGGGGAGCACUACAACCGGAGGAGCCUGCGGUUUAAUUGGACUCAACGCCGGACAUCUCACCAGCAUCGACUGUAAUAAUGACGACCAGGUUGAUGACCUUGCCCGAGUUACAGAGAGGAGGUGCAUGGCCGCCGUCAGCUCGUACCGUGAGGCGUCCUGUUAAGUCAGGCAACGAGCGAGACCCGCAUCUCUACUUGCCAGCAACGCUGCGAAGCGGUUGGGGACAGUAGAGAGACUGCCGUGGCUAACACGGAGGAAGGAACGGGCAACGGUAGGUCAGUAUGCCCCGAAUGUGCUGGGCAACACGCGGGCUACAAUGGUCGGGACAA